rnacentral:rRNA from 1 species
ACGAACGCUGGCGGCAGGCUUCACACAUGCAAGUCGAACGGAUCCUUCGGGAUUAGUGGCAGACGGGUGAGUAACGCGUGGGAACGUACCCUUUGCUACGGAAUAACUCAGGGAAACUUGAGCUAAUACCGUAUGUGCCCUACGGGGGAAAGAUUUAUCGGCAAAGGAUCGGCCCGCGUUGGAUUAGCUAGUUGGUGGGGUAAUGGCCUACCAAGGCGACGAUCCAUAGCUGGUCUGAGAGGAUGAUCAGCCACACUGGGACUGAGACACGGCCCAGACUCCUACGGGAGGCAGCAGUGGGGAAUAUUGGACAAUGGGCGCAAGCCUGAUCCAGCCAUGCCGCGUGAGUGAUGAAGGUCUUAGGAUUGUAAAGCUCUUUCACCGGUGAAGAUAAUGACGGUAGCCGGAGAAGAAGCCCCGGCUAACUUCGUG